GACGAAGGGGGCUAGCGUUGCUCGGAAUCACUGGGCGUAAAGGGUGCGUAGGCGGGGCUUUAAGUCAGGGGUGAAAUCCUGGAGCUCAACUCCAGAACUGCCUUUGAUACUGAAGAUCUUGAGUUCGGGAGAGGUGAGUGGAACUGCGAGUGUAGAGGUGAAAUUCGUAGAUAUUCGCAAGAACACCAGUGGCGAAGGCGGCUCACUGGCCCGAUACUGACGCUGAGGCACGAAAGCGUGGGGAGCAAACAGG
rnacentral:rRNA from 1 species